UACGUAGGGGGCAAGCGUUGUCCGGAAUCAUUGGGCGUAAAGAGCGCGUAGGCGGCCCGAUAAGUCCGCUGUAAAAGUCCAGGGCUCAACCCUGGAAAGCCGGUGGAUACUGUCGGGCUAGAGUCCGGAAGAGGCGAGUGGAAUUCCUGGUGUAGCGGUGGAAUGCGCAGAUAUCAGGAAGAACACCCGUGGCGAAGGCGGUUCUCUGGAACGGUACUGACGCUGAGACGCGAAAGCGUGGGGAGCGAACAGG
rnacentral:rRNA from 1 species